rnacentral:rRNA from 1 species
AUUGAACGCUGGCGGCAGGCUUAACACAUGCAAGUCGAGCGGUAACAUUUCUAGCUUGCUAGAAGAUGACGAGCGGCGGACGGGUGAGUAAUACUUAGGAAUCUACCUAGUAGUGGGGGAUAGCACGGGGAAACUCGUAUUAAUACCGCAUACGACCUACGGGAGAAAGGGGGCAACUUGUUGCUCUCGCUAUUAGAUGAGCCUAAGUCGGAUUAGCUAGAUGGUGGGGUAAAGGCCUACCAUGGCGACGAUCUGUAGCUGGUCUGAGAGGAUGAUCAGCCACACCGGAACUGAGACACGGUCCGGACUCCUACGGGAGGCAGCAGUGGGGAAUAUUGGACAAUGGGGGAAACCCUGAUCCAGCCAUGCCGCGUGUGUGAAGAAGGCCUUUUGGUUGUAAAGCACUUUAAGCAGUGAAGAAGACUCCGUGGUUAAUACCCAUGGACGAUGACAUUAGCUGCAGAAUAAGCACCGGCUAACUCUGUG